rnacentral:snRNA from 1 species
UGCACCGGAUCCCAUCAGAAC